AUGGAAAGCUCAGAUUCCGACGAUGAAGAAGACAGAGUCUCGGUCCGACACAGAGGUGAAAGUACGGAAGAAGAGAUGCAGAAGAGGCUUCAAAUAAUGAAAGAAAAUCUACGACGAAACUCAGAUGAAAAUACAGAUAGAGGAGAUGCUUCAGAUAAUGAAUCCAGUGAGGACUCUCUUCUAGACUGGCUUACCACUUCCAGACAAACUGAAAAUGUGACAAGUGAACAAAAAGAAAAUCAGUCUUGGAGAAAAGAGAGCGAAAUUAGUGCUAACAGUGAUGAGCUCAGAUUUGGCUUAGAAAGCAAUCUUGAGUGUGAUGAUGAAAACUCAAAUCCAGAAAAUGAAUAUGUAGCAUCUGCAAAACUUCCCAGAAGAGAAGAUACAGAAGACAGCCAAAGGCAAGUGGAAAAUCCACAAUCUGAGUCACUAUUUACAACAGCGUCUGCAUCAGAACACGAUACAAUGGAAACAUUAAUGGAAGUCCCACCGACUAGAAGUCAGAGACGACCAAGAAGUAGGAGCCCAGACUCUCGGAGAACGAGAGCAAGGACUGACAGUUGGACACCUCCACGUACACUGUGGGAACUUUUUCAAAGAAUGAAUGAAGAUAUACCAUCUCAGACUUUUAAACAACCUCUCGUAAGUGAGAAUGAUACAUUUUCUAGAACUGGGCAUGAAGAAACAUUGAGACAGCAAAUGCCUGGACAUGAGUUGCAAAAUAGGGGUCUUACUGAAACUUCUAGAACUAGGAAUGCUGUUCCUGGAGAAUGUUAUUCAGACACAACGGGCAGUAGUGAAUCUUGGGAAGUGAGGGAGACAAAUCCAACCAGACCCUUCAGUCCUUGUCCAGUUAAUUGUCCAGCAUGUUCUCAGAGAUACAGAGAAGUUAGUAGAACUCAGCUAACAUCGGACUUACCAAACAACACCACCACUUCAGAAAGUGAGCAAGAGGAACGGGCGCCUAUGUCUUCAGAUUCUGAUGAGGCCAAUGAGAGAGCUUAUGCCAAUACCAUCAGAAAUUCCGUUCAUAGAAUUUUAAAUACUAGCUUAAUUGUAAAUACUAGCUUAAGUACUAGCGCAAGUGGUAUAAUGUCUGUUACAACUCAGACUAUUUUAUGUCAGACAAUGACAGUAUUUAGUGACUCAAGUAACCUUAUGGACAGUGGCAGUAUUUCAGAGCAUAGUGUCUCACGUCCAAGUGAAAGCAUGGGAAGGGCACAGACACCAAAUGAAAGACGUGGACCUAAUGGUAGUGAUAGAAGACCUCGUUCGGCUUCAAAUGCUAGCUAUGAUUCUGAUUCAAGUUUACUAAUGAUAUCAGUUUCAAGCCCCUACGAUAUUUAUGGUGCCACAUUUAAUCAAAUGUCUGGUUUUAGCUCAAGUGAUGAAGAUUUGGAAAUUAGCUCACCGAUGUUUGAAGACAGUGAAGAAGGAAGCUCAACAACAGGCUUCUCAGAGACUGGGCAAGAAGAUGGACGAAUGACCCCAAUAAUAGAUGACGAUAGCGACUCUGGGUCUUCCCUUAAUCUGGAACAAUUUCUCUUAUUACAUGAAGCAGACCCACACCAACCUACAGGCCUUAGCGAACUGCAGAUUGACAACUUGCCUAUAAGAUUUUCUGAAGAGGAAGAUGCAACUAAAAUCUGUACCAUUUGCAUCACAGAAUACACUGCAGGCAACAUGUUACGCAUCCUACCAUGCUCGCAUGAAUACCAUUAUCAGUGCAUUGAUCAAUGGCUGGCAGAACAUUCAACCUGCCCUAUUUGUCGUGGGCCCGUGGUGGACCACUCUGAGGCAGAUGAUCCUAUGUGA
rnacentral:lncRNA from 1 species